GACGAACGCUGGCGGCGUGCUUAACACAUGCAAGUCGAACGGAAAGGCCCUUCGGGGUCCUCGAGUGCGGAAGGGGUGAGUGAGAGGGGGACGAGCGGACCUGCACCUUGGGAUAAGGGUGGGAAACUGGGACUAAUGCUGAAUAGGACGACGCGCUUCUGCGUCUGUGGGGGAAAUCGUGGGCGGCGGGGGAUGGGUCAGCGGUCUAUCAGUUUGUUGGUGGGGUAAUGGCCUACCAAGGCGACGACGGAUAGCCGGCCUGAGAGGGUGACCGGCCACACUGGGACUGAGAUACGGCCCAGACUCCUACGGGAGGCAGCAGUGGGGAAUAUUGCACAAUGGGCACAAGCCUGAUGCAGCGACGCCGCGUGCGGGAUGACGGCCUUCGGGUUGUAAACCUCUUUCGCCAGUGACGAAGCGUAAGUGACGGUACCUGGUGAAGAAGCACCGGCUAACUACGUG
rnacentral:rRNA from 1 species